CCGCUAACUAAAUUCCGGCGUGGAACAGCCGGGCACAGCUCAAUGUCGAAGGAAAGGUGGGGCUCAGGGAGAGUUGUGAGACAGACAGGGAUGAGGGACACAAACGUCCCAAGGCAGGCUGCAAUGCAGGAAGAGACAUAGAGAGAGAUCACGGACUAAGCCCCCCUCUCCCAUGAGGCUAGUGUAAAGGCCCCUGAGGACUGAUCAGACUCACCAGACACACUGGAGGCAUUCCCAGAGGAUAGUACAUCAAGGGGCGUGGCCGCAUCAGCCCUGCUCAGCCUUUCUUCACAGCUGCAGCUACUCUCCAUGAUUCAACACUGCAGUACUUAAACCCGGGCUGAUCACCUCCUCAGCGCCAGUUCGUUAACUACAAACCCAUGUGAUUCCGUCCUGACCCGCUGCCUCCUCCGCUUACCUGCAUGCUUCCAGCUCCACCGUCAGCUCCCACCUCCUCGCUGGGAAUCCUCCCGUGUGCAGCACUCACCGCCGCCUGUCCCCCUCGGAUCCCUCAGUCGCCUUGCCUUCAUCUCGGACAAGCCUCAACCUCCAUUACACCUCCGAGUACUUCCACUCGGUUCAUUAAACUCCAUUACUAACCGCUAACGUUGCCUGUGUGUCAUCUCUGCGUUCUGGGUCAGAACAGCCCCCUAACAAAAAGAUAAUAAUCCAUGAAAAGAAAUCCAUGAAGUUGGUUGAAUUUAGUGCACACCACCAACUCCAGAGAUGUUCCCCCUUUAAAAGGACCAUGUUCAAUGAAGAGCCACCGUCUGGAAAUGUUUUCUUCACGAUUUCCUCACUCACCCACUUGUUUUUUGCUCUCAGUGUGUAAUCUCAUUAAUAGUCACCCGCCAUCCCUUCUGAUCACUGGCCCUUGGGAUUAGCAAAACCUCGGCCUUCUGCCACUUUUCCCGACCUGCUUCACGCUCUCUUCCUCCAUCUCCAUCUCUCUCCAUCCUUUUCUCCCUCCCUCUCUUGUUUCUUGCUUUCUCCUUAUUUACUGUACAACAUUUAUUUUUCACACCUUAAACUCCCCUUCUUUAAUCAUUUUAUGUCAAUCUACCUCUCUCAUUCUCUUUUUUUCAUUCACCACUUUCUACUCUGCUGAUUUCAUAAAGGCUGCCUUGAGGAAUGCUGCUCAAUGGCAUGGUCUUAAAUACACAGAUGCAUACACACACACACACACACACACACACACACACACACACACACACACACACA